rnacentral:rRNA from 1 species
GUUAUAUGGUCAAGUGAAGAAGCGCAUACGGUGGAUGCCUUGGCAGUCAGAGGCGAUGAAAGACGUGGUAGCCUGCGAAAAGCUUCGGGGAGUCGGCAAACAGACUUUGAUCCGGAGAUCUCUGAAUGGGGGAACCCACCUAGGAUAACCUAGGUAUCUUGUACUGAAUCCAUAGGUGCAAGAGGCGAACCAGGGGAACUGAAACAUCUAAGUACCCUGAGGAAAAGAAAUCAACCGAGAUUCCCUUAGUAGUGGCGAGCGAACGGGGAUUAGCCCUUAAGCUUCAUUGAUUUUAGCGGAACGCUCUGGAAAGUGCGGCCAUAGUGGGUGAUAGCCCCGUACGCGAAAGGAUCUUUGAAGUGAAAUCGAGUAGGACGGAGCACGAGAAACUUUGUCUGAACAUGGGGGGACCAUCCUCCAAGGCUAAAUACUACUGACUGACCGAUAGUGAACCAGUACCGUGAGGGAAAGGCGAAAAGAACCCCGGAGAGGGGAGUGAAAUAGAACCUGAAACCGUAUGCGUACAAGCAGUGGGAGCCUACUUGUUAGGUGACUGCGUACCUUUUGUAUAAUGGGUCAGCGACUUAUAUUCAGUGGCAAGCUUAACCGUAUAGGGUAGGCGUAGCGAAAGCGAGUCUUAAUAGGGCGUUUAGUCGCUGGGUAUAGACCCGAAACCGGGCGAUCUAUCCAUGAGCAGGUUGAAGUUAGGUAACACUGACUGGAGGACCGAACCCACUCCCGUUGAAAAGGUAGGGGAUGACUUGUGGAUCGGAGUGAAAGGCUAAUCAAGCUCGGAGAUAGCUGGUUCUCCUCGAAAGCUAUUUAGGUAGCGCCUCAUGUAUCACUCUGGGGGGUAGAGCACUGUUUCGGCUAGGGGGUCAUCCCGACUUACCAAACCGAUGCAAACUCCGAAUACCCAGAAGUGCCGAGCAUGGGAGACACACGGCGGGUGCUAACGUCCGUCGUGAAAAGGGAAACAACCCAGACCGCCAGCUAAGGUCCCAAAGUUGUGGUUAAGUGGUAAACGAUGUGGGAAGGCUUAGACAGCUAGGAGGUUGGCUUAGAAGCAGCCAUCCUUUAAAGAAAGCGUAAUAGCUCACUAGUCGAGUCGGCCUGCGCGGAAGAUGUAACGGGGCUCAAACCACACACCGAAGCUGCGGGUGUCACGUAAGUGACGCGGUAGAGGAGCGUUCUGUAAGCCUGUGAAGGUGAGUUGAGAAGCUUGCUGGAGGUAUCAGAAGUGCGAAUGCUGACAUGAGUAACGACAAUGGGUGUGAAAAACACCCACGCCGAAAGACCAAGGGUUCCUGCGCAACGUUAAUCGACGCAGGGUUAGUCGGUUCCUAAGGCGAGGCUGAAAAGCGUAGUCGAUGGGAAACAGGUUAAUAUUCCUGUACUUCUGGUUACUGCGAUGGAGGGACGGAGAAGGCUAGGCCAGCUUGGCGUUGGUUGUCCAAGUUUAAGGUGGUAGGCUGAAAUCUUAGGUAAAUCCGGGGUUUCAAGGCCGAGAGCUGAUGACGAGUCGUCUUUUAGAUGACGAAGUGGUUGAUGCCAUGCUUCCAAGAAAAGCUUCUAAGCUUCA